UACGUAGGGGGCAAGCGUUGUCCGGAAUCAUUGGGCGUAAAGCGCGCGUAGGCGGCCCUGUAAGUCCGUUGUGAAAGUCGAAGGCUCAACCUUCGAAAGCCGAUGGAUACUGCAGGGCUAGAGUCCGGAAGAGGCGAGUGGAAUUCCUGGUGCAGCGGUGGAAUGCGCAGAUAUCAGGAGGAACACCAAUAGCGAAGGCAGCUCGCUGGGACGGUACUGACGCUAAGGCGCGAAAGCGUGGGGAGCGAACAGG
rnacentral:rRNA from 1 species